rnacentral:misc_RNA from 1 species
GAAAGGUGAAGGGGGAAAGAAAAAUAAAAGAAUCGAGAGAGAGUAAAUGAGAAGAGUCUUAAGAGGGAGUAUAUUACUUAAAAAACAUAUGAAAAUCGUAAUUAACAUUUUCCACCAGCUUUCUAACUCUUCACCCUUUAGCCAAACUAAAAAGCAUCCAAAAAAAUUGCACAUCAUUCACCUGAAAUUAAAAGGCAAAGGAAAAAGUUAACCAAAGGUAAAAGAAUCAAGGAAGAUAGACUAAAUGGCCUGGGUGCAGACGUGCAGUCGAGAUAAGCUUUGCCAAUGAAGUCUCUAUGCCAUAGAAUGUUUAGCUAUAUCAGUAGAAAGGACUACAACUUUAAACACCAUUUCUGAGCACCACCCCAUCAGUUUGCUAAAAUCAUAAGUACUGUUCUUGUAUCCUGGCUCGGUUCUCUUCCCACCACAACCUUGCAUGCAUUUCUCCAAACCUUUCCCGGCUGAACCUGACACGUCUAAGCUCUCGAGUGCCGCCUGGCAGUGCUCUAAUUGUGAUGUACACUCCUGGUUCAUCUUGUUCAACCCAUUCAGUCUCCAUAUCACUAGCAUUACUGAUGGAAAGCUCUCCUGAGUGAUCUACCUCUCUUGACGAACUGGUCCUAGCAGAACCCCCUACAGAUGAUGCCUCAGUUUUGGCCCCACUGAUGCUUGAGAGAUUUGGAGUUGAAGCAAGAGCUGCCGAGUCAAAAUAUUGAUGGGACUGCAUUGGAUGGUGGUCAAGUGAAUCUGAUGAAGAAUAGCCCAUUCCUGUUGAGCGGUAGAAAUUGCGAGGGCGUUCUUUGCCUAGUGGUGGAGUCACAGGGCUGUCCUUGGCAGAUUCAGGCUUUGAGCUCUCAUCUUCAGAUCGUGGUGGAGUAGGAAGUGGGACUGCUUGCUGAUUGAACCGUUGGACAUUAUAUAGUUCCAUGAGCUUGUCGUAGUUCUCUGCCCACCAUCUUUGAGCUUGCCAUUUGUUGAACAUUUCACGACUGAAACGAAUCCGCUUGAGAUCAUUCCCACCCUGAGGCAAAGAAACAAAGGUGAUAAGCACACCAGGUUCUACUUGUGCAACCCAUUCCUUAGGCUCAUCUUCCUCCAUAAACACCACAGACUCUGUUCGCCCACUAACUGAUGCAGGUGUUCCUUCACCACUUGAUAACCCUUUCAGUCUUGCCUCCAUCUCUUUCCCCCACAUUCUCGGGGUUGAAUUAGAACUCCCUGUUCUACGAUAUGAGCAGUGAAAUCUUGCUGACUCCGAAGCAGCAUCAGAAUCAGCAUAGUUCCCAUUAUGAUUUUUAUUUGGAUGUCCAGAACAAGGCUUGCAGUUUCUGUAUGCUCCUGAUGCCUUUAUUGCCAUGUCCUUUAUCUGAGCAGUAAUAGCCUUGAUGGCCUGCUUAGUCCUAGGCGUCUCCAUAGCAUCAUCCUCUUCCCUUUCUCUCUGGUGCAGAGAUCCAUCGUUAAGCUGCCUUGAACAAGCUAUACACGUUAUCAUCCCCAACUCCCCAGCUACAAUAUUAGAAAGAAUUGUGAAAACUGGUUGAGCUCCUUUCAGCUUCAAAACGUGGCUUCAAUUUGAGAUCCCAGCUUACGGAGAGAGAGAGUUUGAGAAUAAGUGGGGAAUGAAUAUAUUUAAAUAGCUAUAAAUGAGAGAGAGAGAAGAAGAAGUAAGCGUUAAUGAAGGAAUGAGUACAUGGUUUGAGGCGAUUUGUGAGGGUAUUAGAACUUCACUUUGCCAGUUAGAAUGAGUAACAGCUAAGAAAAUAUGCAAGAAACUCUCCCCUUGUUCUCCUGUGUGUUCUCUCUCUUCAUCUCUCGCGCAAAAUGGUGCGAGGAUAGACAGGAACACAGAAAAAAUA